rnacentral:lncRNA from 1 species
ACUCGCCAGGACCACCCACCCCGGGCUGCGCGCCGGGCGCCCCCCGACGGCUGCGUGAGCUGAAGCCCGGGCUGGCCCAGCCGGGGUCGGAGGCUGCAGUCGCUCCCGGGCGCUGUCCUCGUGCCCGGCCGAGACUAGGGACUUAAGCAGCCCGGGCUGGCCCAGCCGGGGUCAGAGGCUGCAGUCGCUCCCGGGCGCUGUCCUCGUGCCCGGCUGAGACUAGGGACUUAAGCAACCCGGGCCUCCGAGCCGCUCGGGUGAGCGGUGCGAACACGGCGCGGCGCGGCGCGGCACAGGCGGGGCAGCCUCCAGGGGCGCCUGGAGCGAGGCGGCCUGGGAGAGCCGCUGGUCCGGGAGGGAAGCGCCCUGGACGGAGUAAGGUUUUACACUCGGGACUCAGCGAAAGGACAGCGUGCUGACUUCUGAGUCAGACUGAUCUGGAUUUGAACCUCAGCUCCAGCUCUUGCCAGCUAUGUGGUCUUCGACGAAUACUUCCACCCCUGUGUGGUGCAGUUUGCUCAUCUGCAAAAUGGGACUAAUCUAAUAUAUAUGAUGGGCUUGGAUAUGUCUCUUUAUGCAUUUAUACAUGGAAGAAUGCACCCCAAACUCAGUAGUAUUGGUGACAUCUGGGGAGGGAUGCAGGGUUGGGGGAGGACUGAAAAAGGCUUUUGCUUUUUACUCUGCGUUAUGUUUAUUAUUAUUAUAUUAUUAUUUAUUUAUUUUUUUUGAGACGGAGUCUCACUCUGUCGUCCAGGCUGGAGUGCAGUGGUGCUAUCUUGGCUCACUGCAAGC